AGGCGGAAGUUUUCGGAUGGAAGCUUGUAAACUUAGUGGCGGACGGGUGAGUAACACGUGAGCAACCUGCCUAUCAGAGGGGGAUAACGAUUGGAAACGAUCGCUAAUACCGCAUGACAUAGCGGAACCGCAUGGUUCUGUUAUCAAAGAUUUUAUCGCUGAUAGAUGGGCUCGCGUCCGAUUAGAUAGUUGGUGGGGUAACGGCCUACCAAGUCGACGAUCGGUAGCCGGACUGAGAGGUCGAACGGCCACAUUGGGACUGAGACACGGCCCAGACUCCUACGGGAGGCAGCAGUGGGGGAUAUUGCACAAUGGGGGAAACCCUGAUGCAGCGACGCCGCGUGAGGGAAGACGGUCCUCUGAAUUGUAAACCUCUGUCUUCGGGGACGAAACGAGACGGUACCCGAGGAGGAAGCCACGGCUAACUACGUGCCAGCAGCCGCGGUAAUACGUAGGUGGCAAGCGUUGUCCGGAAUUACUGGGUGUAAAGGGAGCGUAGGCGGGCAGGCAAGUCAGGCGUGAAAUAUAUCGGCUCAACCGGUAACGGCGCUUGAAACUGCAGGUCUUGAGUGAAGUAGAGGUUGGCGGAAUUCCUAGUGUAGCGGUGAAAUGCGUAGAUAUUAGGAGGAACACCAGUGGCGAAGGCGGCCAACUGGGCUUUUACUGACGCUGAGGCUCGAAAGUGUGGGGAGCAAACAAGAUUAGAUACCCUGGUAGUCCACACCGUAAA
rnacentral:rRNA from 1 species